UACGUAGGGUCCGAGCGUUGUUCGGAAUUACUGGGCGUAAAGGGCUCGUAGGCGGCCAACUAAGUCAGACGUGAAAUCCCCAGGCUCAACCUGGGAACUGCGUCUGAUACUGGAUGGCUUGAAUUCGGGAGAGGGAUGCAGAAUUCCAGGUGUAGCGGUGAAAUGCGUAGAUAUCUGGAGGAAUACCGGUGGCGAAGGCGGCAUCCUGGACCGACAUUGACGCUGAUGAGCGAAAGCUAGGGGAGCAAACGGG
rnacentral:rRNA from 1 species